AUGGCGGAGUUGGCGACGGGCGCCGUGACCACGCUACUGGGGGUGAUCAGCCAUGAGGCAGUGAGGCUCGGCCGCGUCCGACGCGACGUGCAGUUCAUCCAAGAGGAGAUGGAGAGCAUGGGCAGCUUCCUGGCCAACCUGUCCCGGAGCAGCCGCGAGCACGACGAGCAGGUCCGCACCUGGAUGAAUCAGGUUCGGAUCCUUGCCAACAAUUGCAACAACUGCAUCGACCUCUACCUCUACCGUGGCGACCCCGGAUUCCACCGGCCGGGGGGGCUUCGCCUCUACCUCUGGUGGGCUCCCUGGCUGCUGCGCAAGCUGCUCGCGCAGCACCGAGCAACCGGCCAUCUGAGGGAGCUCAAGGACCGGGCAUAA
rnacentral:rRNA from 1 species